CUGCUAUCGAGGUUCGACUAAGCCAUGCGAGUCGAAUGUAGCAAUACAUGGCGAACUGCUCAGUAACACGUGGACAACCUGCCCUUAGGUUGGGUAUAAACCCGGGAAACUGGGUAUAAUACCCGAUAGGUCUCGAUUGCUGGAAUGCAUCGAGAUUUAAAGCUCCGGCGCCUAAGGAUGGGUCUGCGGCCUAUCAGGUAGUAGUGGGUGUAGCGUACCUACUAGCCUACGACGGGUACGGGUUGUGAGAGCAAGAGCCCGGAGAUGGAUUCUGAGACACGAAUCCAGGCCCUACGGGGUGCAGCAGGCGCGAAAACUUUACAAUGCUGGCAACAGCGAUAAGGGAACCUCGAGUGCCAGGUUACAAAUCUGGCUGUCGAGAUGCCUAAAAAGCAUUUCAUAGCAAGGGCCGGGCAAGACCGGUGCCAGCCGCCGCGGUAACACCGGCGGCUCGAGUGGUAACCGUUAUUAUUGGGUCUAAAGGGUCUGUAGCCGGCCGGAUAAGUCUCUUGAGAAAUCUGGCAGCUUAACUGUCAGGCUUUCAGGAGAUACUGUCUGGCUCGAGGCCGGGAGAGGUGAGAGGUACUUCAGGGGUAGGGGUGAAAUCUUGUAAUCCUUGAAGGACCACCAGUGGCGAAGGCGUCUCACCAGAACGGACCUGACGGCAAGGGACGAAAGCUAGGGGCACGAACCGGAUUAGA
rnacentral:rRNA from 1 species